rnacentral:rRNA from 1 species
AAUAUUGGACAAUGGGCGCAAGCCUGAUCCAGCCAUGCCGGGUGAGUGAUGAAGGCCCUAGGGGUGUAAAGCUCUUUCACCGGUGAAGGUAAUGACGGUUACCGGAGAAGAAGCCCCGGCUACCUUCGUGCCAGCAGCCGCGGUAAUACGAAGGGGGCUAGCGUUGUUCGGAAUUACUGGGCGUAAAGCGCACGUAGGCGGAUCGGUCAGUUAGGGGUGAAAUCCCGGGGCUCAACCCCGGAACUGACUUUAAUACUGCCGGUCUAGAGUCCGAGAGAGGUGAGGGGAAUUCCGAGUGUAGAGGUGAAAUUCGUAGAUAUUCGGAGGAACACCAGUGGCGAAGGCGGCUCACUGGCUCGGUACUGACGCUGAGGUGCGAAAGCGUGGGGAGCAAACAG